CCCGAAGUAUCCUGAAUCUUUCGCAUUGUUAAUCAUACAAGUGCAUAUAAUAAACACAAAAAUCAAUGAUAAUUAUGCCAUUAUAUAAUUCCGAAAAAUUAACGCACUGUACUCAUAUAAAUCUAUCAGCACUUUAUCAAAUUUAUGAAAUUUAUUUUAUGUUAAAACGCAAGCAUUUUAAUUUAAAUAAGCACUUAUCUACAAUUUUUUGAUAAAUUAAUUUUAACUAAUAGAUUACAAUGUCCUUAUAUGGAAAAAAUGCACACUAUUAUUAUAAUAUUGAUUAAAUAUUACAAUUCUAAUGAUGAAUUUUCCAUAACGGAUAUUCAGGUUCAUCGGGC
rnacentral:rRNA from 1 species